UACGUAGGGGCUAGCGUUAUCCGGAAUUACUGGGCGUAAAGGGUGCGUAGGUGGUUUCUUAAGUCAGAGGUGAAAGGCUACGGCUCAACCGUAGUAAGCCUUUGAAACUGGGAAACUUGAGUGCAGGAGAGGAGAGUGGAAUUCCUAGUGUAGAGGUGAAAUGCGUAGAUAUUAGGAGGAACACCAGUUGCGAAGGCGGCUCUCUGGACUGUAACUGACGCUGAGGCACGAAAGCGUGGGGAGCAAACAGGAUUAGAUACCCUGGUAGUCCCUGAG
rnacentral:rRNA from 1 species